ACCAAUUGUAUCAUCUUCACUUGCAUCAAUCCGAAUCCAAUUCUGUCACGCCCCGUGGCCGAUUUUGAAAGCCUUUCUAAAUUGAUUACAAUUUUUGAAAUUAGAGCUGCGGAAAACGUGCCAUUUUUUUUUCUACCUGCCCCACGUGACAUACAGACCCGCCACAAAUACAAAGUUCCUCUGUCCACUCGGACAGAACCUCCUUUGUAUUUGCACGGCGUACCAAUCAUACAUCAGGAUCUCAACCAUAACUUACAUUCACCAAUCAACAGUCAAAUUAUGUCAUGCAUUUCCAUGCAGCUAGCGAUCCUUAGAGAUGAUGCAUGCCUCUAAACACUCCUUAGGCACUGGAUGAUACAAUGCACAAUACAAUAAGCAUCCUAUUUAAAAGUGCUCCUUAUCUGGAAGCUUUGUUUUUAAACUCUACUUCAAUCAUUCACGAAAACCAUUCAAAAACCUUUUUAAAACUAUUUCCCACUCGGAAACUCCAUUUUGAAAACUUACUACCUCGAGGGGUAGAAACCACGAUGCGUAAAUACAAGAAUCAAGAAUCCAUAAACCAAAACCAUAGAUCCACAAAUCUCUAAUCAUGUGCAUGUAUAACAAAAACAUCCACUAAAACCAAUUCACGAACAAUCAAACAAUCAUAGGGAUCAUCUAACUGAACCAUUUAUUUAUUAAACUAAUAAAUGCAGAAAUA
rnacentral:lncRNA from 1 species